AUGACGCAGAAGAAGUACUCUCUGGAUUUGUUGCAGCGAGCUGGGAUGCUUAAGUGCAAACCGACGACUACACCCAUGUCUACCACUGAUAAGCUCAAUGUUGUUGAUGGUGAGCUUCUUUCUUCUUCUGAUGCGACCGAGUACCGGAGUAUUGUUGGUGGGCUCCAGUACUUGACGAUCACGCGACCAGACAUUUCCUAUGCUGUUAACCGAGUCUGCCAGUAUCUGCAGUCACCCCGUGACACUCAUUGGUCUGCUCUUAAGCGGAUUUUGCGCUAUAUUCAUUUCACGGUGGCUCAUGGUUUGCAUAUUCGGCCGUCUGACUCUGGUUGUCUUUCAGCAUAUUCUGAUGCAGACUGGGCUGGCAAUCCGGAUGACAGGCGAUCCACGGGGGGUUAUGCUGUCUUCUUUGGCUCUAACCUGAUUGCCUGGAGUGCUCGGAAACAGGCUAUUGUCUCGCGUAGCAGUACUGAGGCUGAGUAUAAGGCUGUGGCCAAUGCCACAUCAGAGAUUAUCUGGGUACAGUCCUUGCUUCAGGAGUUAAGUAUACCCCAAUCACAGCCUCCUGUUCUUUGGUGUGAUAACAUCGGUGCUACAUACCUUUCUGCAAAUCCGGUGUUCCAUGCCCGAACGAAACACAUUGAAGUUGACUAUUACUUUGUGCGUGAACGUGUCUCUCAGAAGCAACUACAGAUCAAGUUUAUUUCUUCCAAGGAUCAACUUGCUGACAUCUUCACCAAGCCAUUGCCUUUGCCACAGUUUGAGACUUGCAGGCGCAAUCUUACCCUUCUAGAUUCAUUAGAAAGUGGCUAA
rnacentral:rRNA from 1 species